GGUUCAAUAGUGUAGUCGGUUUAUCACGUCUGUCUCACAAUGCAAUUCUGGGUCACAGGAGGUCCCCGGUUCGAGCCCGGGUUGAACCA